CACCAGUGAAAUGAGGAGCACUAUCUCCCUACCAGCACAUCUCCACUGAGAGAGAGAGAGAGAGAGAGAGAGAGAGAGAGAAUAAAGGAAGGAGAAAUAAGGAACAGGUGGCGCCAUAGAACGAGGCAAGUGAAAAGAUUGACAAAAAGAGUGUGAUCCUUUGUGUACAGCUGCAACCUCAACCCCAGCGUUGUCAUAACUGUGAACCUCAGUAAGGACAGCCCAACCAUGGAUCAGAAAAUCAAUGAUUGCCCCACCACCACCUCCUCCCAGAAACAGAUGAAGAGCAGGUCCAAAUCCACCGAUGAGAUCCAGCACACCAAAAGGCUUUCAUCACAGAAAUCCCUUCCCGGUGGGCCGGAUCUGGACAAAGUCAAGGAGGGCCCAGAAGGUUCCGAGACGCUCUCGUCCUCCACAGAGGAGCUGAAGUGAUGACGGCUGGGGUCCCUCAGGGAAAUAAGGCCAUGAACCUUCCACCUGCUCAUUAAACAUGAACACAUACACACACAUAGACUCACAUACACACACAGUCACAUACCUACACACACUUACACAUUUGUUUAAAUGCAAAAACUGAACUGAUAAACUGAUUUGGUGGAAAGUAAUGUGAUCAGUUAGACAGAAACACACACGCACACACACACACACACCAACAAGAUCUCAUGGUUUUACCAAUUUGACUUCAGAUUCUGACAUUUAUCCACGUUUCUCAAAACAUCAAAUUUCGACGUUGCUCCAAACGUCAACUUUCGAAGUGUUUUUGACACCAUGGGUUGACUCCUGUUCAGUAUCGUUCAGUUUCUCCAAACAUCAAAUUUAAGGUAAGGGUUAGGGUUACAAUAUUACGUUUAGGCAUUCAUUUUCAAUGGUUAAGUUAAGGGUUAGGGUUUGGGAUAGGGUUAAAACAAAAAAUUAAAAAUCUGUCUCUACCACUGGGAUUUAACGUGACCUUCGGAUUCAGAGUAAUGGGAUUAUGUCCAUCCACCACCCCGGUCCACACCGCCCUAGCAAAACCCAAGCCUACUUGAUAGUAAUUGCGCACUGUUGCCCCUAGUGGUCAGUUUUGAAGGCAUUUCCCGACGUCCUCAAAUUUUGAAAUCAAUCUUGAGCGAUCUGCCUACACACACACACAGACACACAGACACACAGACACACACAUAAUGACAAUCACACAAGAAAGGGGCUGUGAUGAUGCUGUAUCAUUGUACUGUGAGUUUUCAUACCAAACUGAAUGUGCAUGCUUCACAAUAAAGCAAUGCUGUUGAGUGGA